AGAGCAACAGGGAUUGCCCCAGUAACGGCGAGUGAAGCGGCAGGAGCUCAAAUUUGAAAUCUGGGGCCCCCGGCCUCCGAGUUGUAAUUUGGAGAGGCUCCUUCGGGGGGGAGCGCUGGCCCAUGUUCCUUGGAACAGGACGUCGCAGAGGGUGAGAAUCCCGUGCCAGGCCGGCUGCCUCCUCCCGCGUGAAGGGCCUUCGACGAGUCGAGUUGUUUGGGAAUGCAGCUCCAAGUGGGUGGUAAAUUUCAUCUAAAGCUAAAUACCGGCGGGAGACCGAUAGCGCACAAGUAGAGUGAUCGAAAGAUGAAAAGCACUUUGAAAAUAGAGUCAAAAAGUACGUGAAAUUGUUGAAAGGGAAGCGCUUGAGACCAGACUCAGACCCAGGCAAACACCGCGCCCCCAGGGGCCGUGCAAUUGCCCGGUGCUGGGCCAGCAUCAGUUGGCGUGGCGGGACAAGGGCGCGGGAAAUGUGGCUCCCCUCGGGGAGUGUUAUCAGGCCCGCGCCGGAUGCCGCCGACGCCGACUGAGGACCGCGCCUCGGCUAGGAUGCUGGCUUAAUGGCCUUCAGCGACCCGUCUUGAAACACGGACCAAGGAGUCUAACAUCUAUGCGAGUGUUUGGGCGCCAAACCCUUGCGCGGAAUGAAAGUGAGCGGAGGUGGGAACCCCUCGCCGGGCGCACCAUCGACCGAUCCUGAUGUCUUCGGAUGGAUUUGAGUAGGAGCAUAGCUGUUGGGACCCGAAAGAUGGUGAACUAUGCCUGAAUAGGGUGAAGCCAGAGGAAACUCUGGUGGAGGCUCGCAGCGGUUCUGACGUGCAAAUCGAUCGUCAAAUUUGGGUAUAGGGGCGAAAGACUAAUCGAACCAUCUAGUAGCUGGUCCUGCG
rnacentral:rRNA from 1 species